UGCGCAGGCGGAAUGAUUAGUCAGUGGUGAAAUCCUACAGCUCAACUGUAGAACUGCCAUUGAUACUGUCAUUCUUGAGUAAAGUGGAAGUGGGCGGAAUGUAUCAUGUAGCGGUGAAAUGCAUAGAUAUGAUACAGAACACCGAUAGCGAAAGCAGCUCACUAUACUGUAACUGACGCUCAGGCACGAAAGCGUGGGGAGCAAACAGGAUUAGAUACCCUGGUAGUCC
rnacentral:rRNA from 1 species